AAACCCUGAUCCCAGCAAUGCCGCGUGUGUGAAGAAGGCCUUCGGGUUGUAAAGCACUUUUGUCAGGAACGAAACGGUGGGGGCUAAUAUCCUCUGCUAAUGACGGUACCUGAAGAAUAAGCACCGGCUAACUAGGUGCCAGCAGCCGCGGUAAUACGUAGGGUGCGAGCGUUAAUCGGAAUUACUGGGCGUAAAGCGUGCGCAGGCGGUUGUGCAAGACAGAUGUGAAAUCCCCGGGCUUAACCUGGGAAUUGCAUUUGUGACUGCACGGCUAGAGUGUGUCAGAGGGGGGUAGAAUUCCACGUGUAGCAGUGAAAUGCGUAGAUAUGUGGAGGAAUACCGAUGGCGAAGGCAGCCCCCUGGGAUAACACUGACGCUCAUGCACGAAAGCGUGGGGAGCAAACAGGAUUAGAUACCCUGGUAGUCCACGCCCUAAACGAUGUCUACUAGUUGUCGGGUCUUAAUUGACUUGGUAACGCAGCUAACGCGUGAA
rnacentral:rRNA from 1 species